AGGACGAACGCUGGCGGCGUGCUUAACACAUGCAAGUCAAGGGGGCCCAGCAAUGGGCAACCGGCGAACGGGUGCGUAACACGUGAGCAACCUACCGAACUGUGGGGGAUAGCCGGCCUAACGGCCGAGUAAUACCGCAUACGCUCUCAGUGAGGCAUUUCAUUGAGAGGAAACCUACGGGACAGAUCGAGGGGCUCGCGGCCUAUCAGCUAGUUGGCGAGGUAACGGCUCACCAAGGCAACGACGGGUAGCUGGUCUGAGAGGAUGGCCAGCCACAUUGGGACUGAGAUACGGCCCAGACUCCUACGGGAGGCAGCAGUGGGGAAUCGUUGCGCAAUGGCCUAAGACUGACGCAGCGACGCCGCGUGUGGAUGAAGCUCUUCGGAGUGUAAACCAUGUUGCCCGGACGAAUAGCUCGAUUAAUCGAGCCUGACGGUACCGGUGAGGAAGCACCGGCUAACUCCGCGCCAGCAGCCGCGGUAA
rnacentral:rRNA from 1 species